AGCAGUUCUCCGGUGAUGCACCCUGGGACCAGAGAGGAGGGGGCCCGAUUCCGGGGUGCAUCACCCAAGAACCGCC
rfam:Myotis brandtii contig192985, whole genome shotgun sequence.